GUUAUCAGUUAGUUUAGUUUAAUACUUAUCAGUUUAGUUAUGGUGUAACUCAUUUUGACUGUUAUUGUGUUUCAUUAAGGAAAUAUUUGAUUCGAUUUAAGACUGCACUUUCAAUUUCAAGAUUUCCUUCUUUCCAGGCUGCUUGCGGAUUUGAAUCAGUUACUUAUCAAACCAUAGAUGUACGGAUAUACAUGAACGGAAUGGAAACAAUAACGUAUUCAUAUACCCCUAAAUUUGAGGUAAUAGAAACUUUCAGCUAUAUUGGUGGCUAUGUUGGAAUUUGGCUUGGGAUCUCGUUGGUUGCUGUAUUUGAUUUUUUAGAGACAGUCCUCCUUAUCAUGAGCUUUCCUGUCAAGAAUUAUAUGAAAGCAAGAGAAAGGAACGGACGGAUAGAGAUGAUAAAAAACCUUUCACGGAAUUUGUAAACAAAUUCAAUAUCAGAAACGAUUUCUGCAUAUCCAGCUUUGUUUGGAGUAUCGUAAAUUUAAUUCAAAAAAUACGUAUAAAAUGCUAUAAAGAUGUAUUUUUUGGAACUUGAUGUAAAUAAAGAGACCGUAUGUGUUUUUGUUUCA